GGGGCGAUAGCUCAAUUGGGAGAGCGCAGCGUUCGCAAUGCUGAGGUCGGGGGUUCGACUCCCCUUCGCUCCA
rnacentral:tRNA from 1 species